UGAAACGGGGCCGUACAUCUCAUGUACGGACCCAUUUUGGUCAGGCUCUCGCGCGUGGAGUUUGCGACCUCUGUUCUGGCACGUUCUUGCUCAGCUUGUUUUGGGUAGCGACGCGAGACGAGCUUUAUCGGGGCCGAAUAUUGGGCCCGAUAUUCGGUCUUGGCCAUGGGUCGCCUCGUCCGCUGCUAUAAAACAGCCGAUCAAUCGACGUGCCGGGGUCUAACGUGGAAGCAAAGGCCCGCAGCCCUACGCGUGAGUAGCAGAAGUUUGAAGUUGAAGUAGAAGUUUGAAGUAGAAGUUUGAAGUAGAAGUUUGAAGCAGAAGUUUGAAGCAGAAGUUUGAAGUUGAAGUAGAAGUUGAAGUAGAAGUUUGAAGUGUGUUCUGUUGUAACUGUUGUUUUGUGUACCCAUAAAAUAUUCCGCCAAACCAGUUUGUUGUUCCUCAGCUCUACCUCACCACCUGAGCCCCCCCCCCCCCCUUUCAUGGUGGAGGCCAAAGGAAGACCGGCACCGGAGGAACACACAGCUACAAGGAGGAGAAUUUUAAGAAUGUUGUCAAUUGCACUUUUUGUGAUGUACUGCAAGAUUGCAGUCAUGGCGGUCCACAUAGAGAAGUUACAAGGUGGAGUCAUUUUCCAAAACAUGGGAUCAGCAGUUUUGCCCUCGGCCUCUUAUUCAGUAGUAAUUAAGUAUGAUUUCAAUGAACUCAGGAAACAAGAUAACAGUUUAGAGGAGGAUUUCAGCAAUCUUUCAAAGUAUUUAGCUGUACACGGGAAAACUACAACGCAAUCUGGAGCAUUUUUAGCAGAAUUGAACUUUUUGCACAAAGAACUCACUGAAUAUGAGGCCGAGACGUCUGCACUCAUGGAGCUUGUGCCGCAUUCUCCGAAAAAAAGGUCUCUAUGUGAUGGGCUCGGUAGAGUCAUCUCAUCAGUGACUGGACUCAUGGAUGAUGAGGAUAAAUUAGCAGUUCAAUCUACGUUGGAGGACCUUCAAGGCAAAGUGCAAGCCUUAAAUAUUGAAGUUUCAGCAAAAAAAAUUGUUAUUAAAAAUAUUUUAGAGGAUAAUGUAAAUAACACUAAAAUUUUGGGAUCUUUGGCAAGAGAAAUAUGUACAAAUAAUGGAAUAUUACAAGAUAUUGAAAAUUGGGUGUAUACGGAGGGUAAGUUGCAGGAACUUGGGUUCUGGGUGAGUAAAAUACGAUUCGAGAGAAACCGAGUAAGGAUUGGUCUAGAAAUGGCAUUGAAAAAUAAGUUAACACCUGAGUUAUUGAGCCCUAAAAGCUAUCUUUCAGUUUUAUUAAGUGUACAAAAAGCAAUUUUGCCACAGUACCAGUUAGUAUUUGCGCCUAGUAUGAGUACGUUACAAAAUUUUUAUGAAUUGGGGCAGGUCAAAUUGAAGGUUAUUGACAUGGUUUUAGUGGCCAGUAUAAAUAUCCCAUUAGUAAAAUUGGCACAUCAUGUACAUUAUUAAAAUUAAAUGCGGUUCCUCUUUUCCACCCCGAAAUUCGGCAUUUUGUGCAGUUUUUAGUGGAGGAUUAUUUGAUUAUCUCAUCGGAUUUUAAAUAUUACAUCACUUUAAAGGAACAAGAAAUGAAAGAUUGUCAGCCUAUUAAAAAUACCACUAUUUGCCAGGUAGCUAAGCCAAUGAUAUCCUGUAGGGUGCAUUCGUGUGAAUUUGACUUGUUUCACUCCAAAAAUAUUGAUAAAUGUAAGAAGCAAAUCAUACGAAGUGGGGAGGAGUUUUAUGAAAAAAUAGGUGGAGAUUGGUUGUUUUCCGUGGCUAAACCAGUGGAAGUUCGAAUUACUUGCGGAUCGACCCACGAGGUGCAGAAAUUGUCUGGGGCGGGGUUUUUGAAAAAUGUCCGGGACUGUGAAGUUGACUCGGACACGCGGACACUGCCAGCGGGCGUGGAUUUAAGCGGGGACGCGAUUUUUGGUUGGGUCGGUUUGACUAUACCAGAUCUGGGUGGGAGGAUCUUAACGCAGCCGGAAAGUGAUUUGCUUCAGAAAGCCAAGUUGGGGGAAAAGAGUUUAGAGGAGCGAGUUAAGGAAAGUGUAGCGAGAGUGAAUAGUCACGCUGAGCUAAACGAAGUUUUGGGUCAAAUUACAGCGCAAUGGGAGCAGAGUUCGUGGGUGCCGACAGAGUGGCAUUUGCAUGGGUUGACAGUUUCCGUGGGUAUUCUUUUGAUUGUCAUUCUUGUACUCGGUCACUGGAUGCGGGCAAAAACGAAACCAAGGGUUUACUAAAAAAUCCCGGUGCCCCGGCGGUUUCAGCACCUCACGGGUUCUUCUGUAAAUUUUUCUCGAUGGAAUGCUAUGCUAUUUUAAUCAAGUAUUCUUUUACUUACAAAAACGUAUGAGGAAUGUUUUCUAUUUUUUCUAUACUCAUGCGCAACACGGCCAUUAUCUUUUGUUAUCAUCUUUUGGCCACAGAAAAAGUAGUGGUGGAGGCCCGGUCGUCCCUAGUAAAGGAGCUUUGUAGCACAGUACCUAAUGUUUCUUUUAGUUCCGUGAUAUUUAUAUUUUUAUCAAAUUGUUAUAAAUUUUUUUUGUUAGUUUCUAAUCUGGUGUAAUUUUGAGUUUAAGGUCCUUCCGUUCCGUAGAGUUAUAUGGGUGAACCAGGCACUCACUCGAUGCAAGACUUUUCGAGUCAAGUGUAUACCGAGGAUUGGUGCCUCAACCCCAACUGGUUCUUCACCUGGUCGGAUUGAAAAGCUCGAUUCAAUCCCUGGUGCUAUCGGGCAGACUAACAGAGUCCCUGGUCAGGGAUACGACCGAAGAAAAGAUAUAAUGACGGAGCGGUCGUCGGGGACCUUUCUCAAUGCAGGGCUACUCUGAAGCUGGUCGAGGGGUCACGGACUGUGAGCUGCAAUGCAAAGGCUUGGCGAGGAGGUGCAGUUUUUCUUUUCGUCGGCUACAUCACGGAGCAAAGAUGUGGGGGCAACUCUCGGGCAACGUGGGACCAGUGCAGGAGCACGACGAAUCGGAUGGGGAACUGCGAUGUGGGCUUCAUCAUCGACCUUUGCAUUGGGACAAGAUGCAUCUGCAGUAGACGUCGGAUUUUUAUUGGAUAUUAAUUAUGUAUUUAUUUUGUAUUUAUAUGUCUAUAGUUCCAGCGUCUCUUUUUGUUUUUUUAAGGGGCCAUCUAAAGCAGGGGGAAUGAAACGGGGCCGUACAUCUCAUGUACGGACCCAUUUUGGUCAGGCUCUCGCGCGUGGAGUCUGCGACCUCUGUUCUGGCACGUUCUUGCUCAGCUUGUUUUGGGUAGCGACGCGAGGCGAGCUUUAUCGGGGC
rnacentral:lncRNA from 1 species